UGCGAUUUUGGUCACUAUUCAC
rnacentral:siRNA from 1 species